AGAGUUUGAUCCUGGCUCAGAUUGAACGCUGGCGGCAGGCCUAACACAUGCAAGUCGAGCGGAAACGAGUUAUCUGAACCUUCGGGGAACGAUAACGGCGUCGAGCGGCGGACGGGUGAGUAAUGCCUAGGAAAUUGCCCUGAUGUGGGGGAUAACCAUUGGAAACGAUGGCUAAUACCGCAUAAUACCUACGGGUCAAAGGGGGGGACCUUCGGGCCUCUCGCGUCAGGAUAUGCCUAGGUGGGAUUAGCUAGUUGGUGAGGUAAUGGUUCACCAAGGCGACGAUCCCUAGCUGGUCUGAGAGGAUGAUCAGCCACACUGGAACUGAGACACGGUCCAGACUCCUACGGGAGGCAGCAGUGGGGAAUAUUGCACAAUGGGCGCAAGCCUGAUGCAGCCAUGCCGCGUGUGUGAAGAAGGCCUUCGGGUUGUAAAGCACUUUCAGUCGUGAGGAAGGUAGUGUAGUUAAUAGCUGCAUUAUUUGACGUUAGCGACAGAAGAAGCACCGGCUAACUCCGUGCCAGCAGCCGCGGUAAU
rnacentral:rRNA from 1 species